rnacentral:sRNA from 12 species
UGCUUUUAGUCAUAAGAAUUACAACUCUGUGUAAACGGUGUCGCGCAGAUACCGCAGAGAUAUGUCGAACGCUAGGGUGGAAACAGCAAGGAUACUUGCCACACCACUCUUCCCUCUAUCGAAAGGUAGAUGGACUAGACUAACAAGUCGAAAGCAAGAUGUAGUGCGCGAGUUGUAGUGUACAAAGGUAUUCCUCGUAUUCGUGGGUGCAAUAGAGGUGAUUAACAGUCGCUGAAUCCAAGUAGGUCAAAGGGUGGGAGAUGAACGCCCCAUCAAGCCUUGGAACGGUUCAUAAGCCCAUUAGCCGUGAACCAACGAAAGUUGGGUAUAAGAAUAGAGGAAGUUCGAGUAGCCUAAGGCUUUCUUUAAGGAAAAGCUAUUCAAAAAUCUGAUGAAAAUGUUUUAUCUUUUGGUGAAUUGCAGGUGAAAGUUGAGAGUUUACAAUCUCUUUAGAGCGGUGUGUUCUUCGGAACAAGGAUAGAAAAGUAACUGGGGUAGCUCCCCUAUGCUCACAGCUAUCUUCUCUAUGACUGAACAUGUAUGUGGCAAUAAUCGGCGUAAGGCGAAGGUCUGUAGUUUUUAUGACUAAGAG